CCUGGAAAUGGUAAUACUAACUACAAUGCAAAGUUCAAGGGCAAGGCCACACUGACUGCAGACACAUCCUCCAGCACAGCCUACAUGCAACUCAGCAGCCUGACAUCUGAGGACUCUGCGGUCUAUUACUGUGCAAGAUUUGACUACUGGGGCCAAGGGACCCCGGUCACCGUCUCCUCAGAGAGUCAGUCUUCCCCAACUGUCUUCCCCCUCGUCUCCUGCGAGAGCCCUCUGUCUGGUGAGAAUUUGGUGGCCAUGGGCUGCCUGGCCCGAGAUUUCCUGCCCAGCUCCAUUUCCUUCUCCUGGAACUACCAGAACAAGACCGAAGUCAGCCAGGGUGUCAGAACCUUCCCAACACUGAGGACAGGGGACAAGUACAUAGCUACCUCGCAGGUGUUGCUAUCUCCCAAGAAUGUCCUUGAAGGUUCAGAUGAAUACCUGGUAUGCAAAAUCCACCACGGCAGCAAAAACCAAGAUCUGCACGUGCCUAUUCCAGUUGUCACAGAGAUGAACCCCAAUGUAAGUGUGUUCAUUCCACCACGUGAUGCCUUCUCUGGCCCUGCACCACGCAAAUCCAAACUCAUCUGCGAGGCCACAAACUUCAGUCCCAAACAGAUCACAGUAUCCUGGCUACAGGAUGGGAAGCCUGUGAAAUCUGGCUUCACCACAGAUCCAGUGACUAUCGAGGACAAAGGAUCCAGACCCCAAACCUACAAGGUCAUAAGCACACUGACCAUCUCUGAAAGUGACUGGCUGAACCUGAGUGUGUACACCUGCCGUGUGGAUCACAGGGGUCUCACCUUCUGGAAGAACGUGUCUUCCACGUGUGCUGCCAGUCCAUCCACAGACAUCCUAGCCUUCCCCAUCCCCCCCUCCUUUGCCAGCAUCUUCCUCACCAAGUCUGCUAAACUGUCUUGUCUGGUCACAAACCUGGCAACCUAUGACACCCUGAAUAUCUCCUGGGCUUCCAAAAGUGGUGAACCACUGGAAACCAACAUUAAAAUCAUGGAAAGCCACCCCAAUGGCACCUUCAGUGCUGUGGGUGAGGCUAGUGUUUGUGUGGAAGACUGGAAUAACAGGAAGGAAUUUGUGUGUACUGUGACUCACAGGGACCUGCCUUCACCACAGAAGAAAAUCAUCUCAAAACCCAAUGAGGUGGCCAAACAUCCACCUGCUGUGUACCUGCUGCCACCAGCCCGUGAGCAACUGAACCUGAGGGAGGCGGCCACAGUCACCUGCCUGGUGAAGGGCUUCUCUCCUGCAGACAUCUUUGUGCAGUGGCUUCAGAGAGGGCAACCCUUACCCUUAGAGAAGUAUGUGACCAGUGCCCCGAUGCCAGAGCCCGGGGCCCCAGGCUUCUACUUUGCCCACAGCAUCCUGACUGUGACAGAGGAGGAAUGGAACUCCGGAGAGACCUAUACCUGUGUUGUAGGCCACGAGGCCCUGCCACACAUGGUGACCGAGAGGACCGUGGACAAGUCCACUGAGGGGGAGGUGAAUGCUGAGGAGGAAGGCUUUGAGAACCUGUGGACCACUGCCUCCACCUUCAUCGUCCUCUUCCUCCUGAGCCUCUUCUACAGCACCACUGUCACCCUGUUCAAGGUGAAAUGACUCUCAGCAUGGAAGGACAUCAGAGACCAAGAGACUCUCCCACAGGAACACUACCUCUGGGCCUGGGGUACCUGCUUGUAUGACUAGUAAACUUAUUCCCACAUCUUUCCUGUGUUGCCCUCAGCUUUGAUCUCUGAGAUGGACUUCUUUCUAGACUGACCAAAGACUUUUUGUAAACUUGUGCAACCUGAAGCAACGUCUGGACCACAGACAGCUGUGCUGUAUACAAAUGUCACUUGGAAAUAAAUACUUUAACUUGUGAACCCA